AUAUUUUUAAAAAUAAAAUGCUCUGGAAAUGAAAGCUUGCAUAUAUAGGGAGCAAACCAUGUGUUUGCAUCCAAAUUAUGGGUCAGGUGAGUUUCUGUUCCAACCUGUUUUGAUUACCAACAUGAAACUAGAAUACGAACCCGUGGAAAGUUUACUGCCACAAACAUGAGGGGAGCCGACUAUGCAGGAGACGCUAGAAAAGGUCAUCCAUUCCCGCUUAACAUUUUCCUAUCAUCAAGUCCAGACACACAGAUCCCCACGGUGAUACGAGUGCAGGUCUGAUCCCGAAUUACGGUGGUGUUUGUCACUAUCCUAGUGAACUCUCAUUUUCGAAUCAAUUUUGAAGAUGGUGGGGCUACCUUAAGUUCUCCCUCUGUUGACCAGGAGGGUUUUUGCUACCAAGCGGCAAAGAAUAUCAAGCACAAAGAUAGCGUCAAGCAAGUGGUGCUGAUGCACAAACGGAGUCGUGAAUGAGGAUGACUUCAUAUUCUUGAAUUCUUGCAGGCGGUGUCGACCCUACUGGACGAUUGAAUCUCGAAUAAUCGGACAUAGUAAAGUACUGGAUCAUCUUCGUCAACUUCAAUUGUGGAUAGUAUCGAAUAGCCGUUUAAAGCCUUAAAACUGUAAGGUCAUGGAUAGCGCAAAUAAAUGUAGGCAUUAGCCCAAUCAUGGCUGAAAGCGAGAGGCUCUGAUCAACCUCAAUUAGCAAAAAAACUAGGAGACAAAUCAUCCUAAAUCAGCAAUGGUCUUUAUGCUGUUUUUGGUCUUCAGGACCUGGGGCCUUUUGAGCUUGUCCUGGAUUGCGGUGAAGGAGGCCGAUCAUCACUCUGUACCUGCCCGACUGCUCCUCGACAUUCAUAUGCUUCUGUGCAGAAGAAAGCAAGGAGGAGAGUGACAGAUUCUGGUUUUGAUCAUAAUCCAUCCAGAGUUGUCAUUUCUGAUUUUGUCUGAAAAACCUCUCUUUCAGAGAUUUAUGCUCUGAUCAAGGAGUAAUUGCACCAGAGAUAUCCGGAGAAAAUGGUGCACUCAUUUAUUUCUUAAACUUUGAAGUUUUCGCCAGGCGAAGAAAAUAAUGCAUGCGCAACUCUCUCAGAACUAUUAAGCUUGGCUGGUUGGCGAUAGCUUGAUACUGUGAAAGCCGCUUGCAAUUUGGAUUUGGAAAAUUCUUGUUUUGUAUCUAAUGGUUCAGUGAACCAUAAACUCACUGCAUCAAUAAUUAAAUGGCUGUUGCGGGAAUGGAAGGAAAAUAUUGGGAAAGAAAAUAUGCGUUUGGAAUAGAAUGAUCUUGGUUUUCUUAAUACCAAAACCAUAUAAUUGUUCUCCAUUA